GGGGAUUGGGAUUUCUACUUCUAAGACCGUAAUGCCAUUAAUUUGGUGUUACGGGGAAUUAGGACUGUUACCUUGAAAAAAUUAGAGUGUUUAAAGCAGGCUCACGCUUGAAUACAUUAGCAUGGAAUAAUGAAAUAGGACAUCCGAUUCUAUUUUGUUGGUUUCA
rnacentral:rRNA from 1 species